rnacentral:rRNA from 1 species
ACGGAGGAUCCAAGCGUUAUCCGGAUUUAUUGGGUUUAAAGGGUGCGCAGGCGGAUCAAUAAGUCAGGGGUGAAAAAUUUCAGCUUAACUGGAAUCGUGCCUUUGAUACUGUUGGACUAGAGUAUAAUUGACGUGACUGGAAUGUGAUGUGUAGGAGUGAAAUGCUUUAAUCCUUGGGGGACCACCUGUGGUGGAGGCGGCUCACCAGGUUGGGUCCGACAUUGAGGAACGAAAGCUGGGGGAUCAAACUU